UACGUAGGCAGCGAGCGUUGUUCGGAGUUACUGGGCGUAAAGGGUGUGUAGGCGGUUUUCUAAGUUUGGUGUGAAAUCUCCCGGCUCAACCGGGAGGGUGCGCCGAAAACUGGGCGACUAGAGUGCGGGAUGGGAGAGUAGAAUUCCUGGUGUAGCGGUGAAAUGCGUAGAUAUCAGGAGGAAUACCGGUGGUGUAGACGGCUCUCUGGACCGCCACUGACGCUGAGACACGAAAGCGUGGGUAGCAAACAGG
rnacentral:rRNA from 1 species